AGGACGAACGCUGGCGGCGUGCUUAACACAUGCAAGUCGAACGGUGAACCCCUUCGGGGGGAUCAGUGGCGAACGGGUGGAGUAACACGUGAGCAACCUGCCCUGACUCUGGGAGUAACCCCGGGAAACCGGAGCUAAUAACCGGAUAUGACACCUUCGGGCAUCCGAUGGGUGUGGAAAGAUUUAUCGGUUGGGGAUGGGCGUCGCGGCCUAUCAGCUUGUUGGUGGGGUAAUGGCCUACCAAGGCGACGACGGGUA
rnacentral:rRNA from 1 species